rnacentral:rRNA from 1 species
AACGAACGCUGGCGGCGUGGAUAAGACAUGCAAGUCGAACGGGACAGGUAGCAAUAUCUGUCUAGUGGCGAACGGGUGCGUAACACGUGGGCAACAUGCCUGGAAGAGCGGGAUAGCCCGGGGAAACUCGGAUUAAUACCGCAUGUGACAACGGGGCGGCUUCGCCCUGUUUUCAAAGGUGGGGACCGCAAGGCCUGCCGCUUCCAGAUUGGCCCGCGUCCUAUCAGCUAGUUGGCGGGGUAAAAGCCCACCAAGGCGACGACGGGUAGCUGGUCUGAGAGGACGACCAGCCACACUGGAACUGAGACACGGUCCAGACACCUACGGGUGGCAGCAGUCGAGAAUCUUUCACAAUGGGGGAAACCCUGAUGGAGCGACGCCGCGUGGAGGAUGAAGGUCUUCGGAUUGUAAACUCCUGUCAUGAAAGAACAAGCGAUGCGGGUGAACAGCCCGCAAAGUUGAUAGUAUUUCAAGAGGAAGGGACGGCUAACUUCGUGCCAGCCGCCGCCUAAAAC